UACGGAGGGGGCUAGCGUUGUUCGGAAUUACUGGGCGUAAAGCGCACGUAGGUGGCUUUGUAAGUUAGAGGUGAAAGCCCGGGGCUCAACCCCCGGAACUGCCUUUGAUACUGGUAGUCUUGAGUUCGAGAGAGGUGAGUGGAAUUCCGAGUGUAGAGGUGAAAUUCGUAGAUAUUCGGAGGAACACCAGUGGCGAAGGCGGCUCACUGGCUCGAUACUGACGCUGAGGUGCGAAAGCGUGGGGAGCAAACAGG
rnacentral:rRNA from 1 species